GCUCCUUCGGAGUCCGAGUUGUAAUUUGUAGAAGAUGCUUUGGGUUGUGGGCUCGGCCUAAGUUCCUUGGAACAGGACGUCAUAGAGGGUGAGAAUCCCGUAUGUGGCCAUGGCCCGCGCCUAUGUAAAGCUCUUUCGACGAGUCGAGUUGUUUGGGAAUGCAGCUCAAAAUGGGUGGUAAAUUUCAUCUAAAGCUAAAUAUGGGCCAGAGACCGAUAGCGCACAAGUAGAGUGAUCGAAAGAUGAAAAGCACUUUGGAAAGAGAGUUAAACAGUACGUGAAAUUGUUGAAAGGGAAGCGCUUGCAACCAGACUUGGGCGCUGCCGAUCACCCCGAGUUCUCUCGGGUGCACUCGACAGCGCACAGGCCAGCAUCGGUUCGGGUGGCUGGAUAAAGGCCGUAGGAAUGUAGCUCUCUUCGGGGAGUGUUAUAGCCCACGGUGCCAUGCAGCCCAGCCGGACCGAGGACCGCGCCUUCGGGCUAGGAUGCUGGCGUAAUGGUUGUAAGCGACCCGUCUUGAAACACGGACCAAGGAGUCUAACAUCUAUGCGAGUGUUUGGGCGUUAAACCCAUACGCGGAAUGAAAGUGAACGUAGGUGAGAACCCCUUUGGGGCGCAUCAUCGACCGAUCCUGAUGUCUUCGGAUG
rnacentral:rRNA from 1 species